GAUAUCGUCAACUGACAAACACCAACUAGCGUCUCUCGCUGUUGUCACUGCGUUCAGAAAUGAUUUUGGGUCUUCGAAAAAGUCCGUUAGCAUCUCAAUCGUUUUCAGAAGAGGCUAGCAGCUAAGUUAGCUAAGAUCAUGUUGAUGUCCUAAUUACUGCACCCCCUGUCCAAGACAAUCUCCACGGCUAUGAACUCGACUAGUGUGUUUUGAAAUAAGUUGGCCAAUGAGACAUCGUACUGUCCAACUCAAAGUAGAGCCCUGGCCAGGACUAUUUUCCUCACCCCGCCGAAUCUCUGACCAUUACCGCCCGCUCCCGCAACGGAUGUUACACUCCCGUGGGACCCGGCGGUACUCAAUCCCAAUGCAGCCCUCUACCAAGCACAAAGCUAACUUUUGUAAAUUGCACAAAGGACAACAGGAGGGAUCAUGAAAUUUUAUUCUGCAGCCACAGAGAAGUAAAUCAAGAUGCAUGUUUCUGAGCACCUCAAGCACGCGCCGC